GGCGCUGACAGACGUGCCAAGGGAGGGGGCGGCUGGCGGUGAGGACCUGCCCACAGUGAGUCCUUAAAGCCCGGGCCCCAGGGGAGGAGGCGGAGCCGCAGGACAGCGGGUCGCACCAGGGGGCUCUGGUCACCCCUCCUCUACCUGCUUGCUCCCCACCCUGUCGCCUGGGGAGGCACGAGCCUGAGGUCCGGGCAUUUCAAGGCUCCCUGAGUCCUUCAGGAGGAUGGUGCCCAGGCCACCCCCCGGGAAAGCAGUUCCCAGGGUCACACAGCCAGCUCAUGCUCAACUUGGAGCUAACGAGGAGAGAGGUGGGGAAAGCAAUUGUUCUCGAGCACCUACUGUGUGCCUGACACUGAGCGGAGCCCUGGGAAUACACUGUGAAUGGAACAGCCCCAAACCCCUGCCUGGAGCCGACAAGGAAACAGGCCAGACAAACCCAAGAAGUGGAUCUGAUCAUCCUUGUUUUACCAAGGAGGAAACUGAGGCACAGAGAAGGGCAGGGACUUGCCCAGGGUCACACAGCAGAAGCAGAUCCCAGUCUCUUCCAUCUGGCUCCCAAGCCCGUGCUCCUGUGCUUCUGAGAGGGUCGGCUCAGCGCGGGACAGGUUCUGGGGCCGGAGCCCCUCCUCCCCGCUCUGACCCCUCCGCGAGGCAGCCGCGUGCCCGCCUCACAGGUGGGGACACUGAGGCUCUGAGCUGCAGACGCCAGAGCCCGGGGCCUGCAGGAGGCGGAGGCCCACGUGGGGUCUGACCCGGGCCCCUGGGCUCACCGGCGCCUCGGGGCCGGGCCCUCCGCGACGACGCCGGGAGCAGGUGCAGGUCAGGUCCAGGCCGGCUGCUGGCGGGCAGAGCGGGGUGCGGGGCUGGCGCGGGCUGGGGGCUGGUGCCCGCCCUCCGAGCCCCCCGAGCCCCCUGAGCCCCCUGCCCCGCACCCCCGCCGCGCUGGCCGGGCCGACCCCGAACCCGCCCCGGCUCCCCGCGCCCCGCCUCUGCGCCCGUGGUGCCCCACACCCUGCCCGCUGGCGUCGUCUCUUGGUUGAGGUCUCUGUUCUAAUGUCGCCUCCUCAGCGGCCCUCCCAGGCUCCCUCGGUCACACUCUCUGCUGUAUUCCCCUCGGAGCCCCCAUAACUCUGAAACGACCUCACAUUCCCCGCUCCACGGACACGGACCCGAGUCCUGAGAACAGAGGGGUUUCUGUUUUGUUGGCUGUCACAUCUCCAGGACCAGGUAGAGCCCCCGAACACAGUGGUGCUCAAUAAUUGUUUGUUGAUGUAAUAAAAAAGUCUUUAAAAGAUAAGAAUAACUGUAU
rnacentral:lncRNA from 1 species